rnacentral:rRNA from 1 species
UGGGGAAUAUUGGACAAUGGGCGCAAGCCUGAUCCAGCCAUGCCGCGUGAGUGAUGAAGGCCCUAGGGUUGUAAAGCUCUUCCACCGGUGAAGAUAAUGACGGUAACCGGAGAAGAAGCCCCGGCUAACUUCGUGCCAGCAGCCGCGGUAAUACGAAGGGGGCUAGCGUUGUUCGGAUUUACUGGGCGUAAAGCGCACGUAGGCGGACUUUUAAGUCAGGGGUGAAAUCCCGGGGCUCAACCCCGGAACUGCCUUUGAUACUGGAAGUCUUGAGUAUGGAAGAGGUGAGUGGAGUUCCGAGUGUAGAGGUGAGAUUCGUAGAUAGACGGAGGAACACCAGUGGCGAGGGCGGCUCACUGGACCAUUACUGACGCUGAGGUGCGAAAGCGUGGGGAGCAAACAGG